GGAUGAACGCUGGCGGCGUGCCUAAUACAUGCAAGUCAAGCGAACAGACGAGGAGCUUGCUCCUCUGACGUUAGCGGCGGACGGGUGAGUAACACGUGGAUAACCUACCUAUAAGACUGGGAUAACUUCGGGAAACCGGAGCUAAUACCGGAUAAUAUAUUGAACCGCAUGGUUCAAUAGUGAAAGACGGUUUUGCUGUCACUUAUAGAUGGAUCCGCGCCGCAUUAGCUAGUUGGUAAGGUAACGGCUUACCAAGGCGACGAUGCGUAGCCGACCUGAGAGGGUGAUCGGCCACACUGGAACUGAGACACGGUCCAGACUCCUACGGGAGGCAGCAGUAGGGAAUCUUCCGCAAUGGGCGAAAGCCUGACGGAGCAACGCCGCGUGAGUGAUGAAGGUCUUCGGAUCGUAAAACUCUGUUAUUAGGGAAGAACAAAUGUGUAAGUAACUAUGCACGUCUUGACGGUACCUAAUCAGAAAGCCACGGCUAACUACGUG
rnacentral:rRNA from 1 species